rnacentral:lncRNA from 1 species
GACUCACGUGGGGAGCUCUAGACUCAUCUGGCCCCGUGGAAACCAGCAUCAGUGUUGUUUACAAGCUCCCCAGGUGAUGCUAAUGUGCAGCCUGGAGUGAGAGCCAUGGACCGAGACCUCUUCCCACUUCCUCCAUGGAAUUUUUCUUGCAGUCUGUUCUUGCAACCCACAGGCCCCCUUCCCUCACAACCCCAAAGGAAAGAUGAGUUUCCAUUAAGACAAGACCUUAGCUUUAACUUGAUGUCUUAAGCAGAUGGUGGCAGACCUAAUUCACAGUGUCAGCGGGGUCCUGAAUUUCUAUUCCAGCCCUUACGGCCAACUGGCAGCCUGGACCUGAGUGAGUGACAGAUGUCUCCUGAGCAGGACAGACAGGCAAAGCCUGCCGGAGGGGAUGCUGGAGAAAAUGGUCAUGUGGAACCUUCCAGCUGGUCCGACUGGUCAUUGUGUCUGCUCCAAGAAAGUGUGAAAGCGUCACUUCCUGGCUUGGCAGCUGUGGACCAGUCUGUAGGGAAAUGUCUGUAGGGCAAGGGUGAAUUUGGGGCCAAACUUCCUGCUCAGGAUCAUGGACUUUGGCGACAGACACACCUGGGAUCAAGAGCCAGUUCUUCCAUUCACUGACCAAGUGACCUUAGGCAGGAAUUCCUCUUUUCUAGCCCAAGUUUUAUCUGUAAAAUGGGGGUAAUAGCAGUCUCACAGGAUUGUGGAGAGAAUUAAGAGAUGCCAAAUGUAAAUAAAGUCUUGGGCCCGUAGCCAGCCCUUAGUAAGUGGAAAGCAUUUUAAUGCCAAGUCAUUGGCUCAUUGGUACUUCUGAGUGUCUGUGUGCCCAGGCCUCCGGCUGCUCAGGACUCCCCAGGAUGCAGGGGUGUCACUGGCACCCUGGCUCUCCUGGCACCACUCCAUGGAAGUACGUGGGGAUUGUGGUGUGAUGCUCAGCCAGGAGGCUGCACUCUGCACGCCCAUUUCAGGGAGGCUGGGAAGGGAGGCAGUGUGGGUUUAGAAGUCAGGCAGACCUGGCUUCCCAUGCCGUGCCAGUGUCUAACCUCAGUCCCCUGUAAACGCCGGUUGGAUGUUGCGUGAGCCUCGGUCCCCUGAUCUAUGAAAUGGGUGCUGGUGUGGACACCGAAUGAGUGAGCUGGUAGAACACCUAGUGAUUAGGAGCCCAGCCAGGUUCUAGAGCCAGGCUGCCUGGGUUCAGAUCCCCCCUCUGCCACUUUCUAGCUCUGCAGUUUUGAACAAGCUGCAUCAUCUCUUGGUUUGAGUUACUCUAAUGAAAAGUAGGGAUAAUAAUAUCUAUCUCCUAAUGCUGCCA